UACGUAGGGUGCAAGCGUUAAUCGGAUUUACUGGGCGUAAAGCGUGCGCAGGCGGUUUUGUAAGUCUGUCGUGAAAGCCCCGGGCUCAACCUGGGAAUUGCGAUGGAGACUGCAAGGCUUGAAUCUGGCAGAGGGGGGUAGAAUUCCACGUGUAGCAGUGAAAUGCGUAGAGAUGUGGAGGAACACCGAUGGCGAAGGCAGCCCCCUGGGUCAAGAUUGACGCUCAUGCACGAAAGCGUGGGGAGCAAACAGG
rnacentral:rRNA from 1 species